ACGCGACCCCAGGUCAGGCGGGACUACCCGCUGAGUUUAAGCAUUCAA
rnacentral:rRNA from 1 species